rnacentral:ribozyme from 13 species
AUUUGAAAUAAUGUGAAAACAUAUACGUGGAAUUGUAUUUUGUUUUGCUAUCACCAUUCAUUGAAAUGAGACCGAAUGAAAGAAAAAGAAUGCUCUACAUAUUGCUUUAAUUUAAUUGACGACCCUGUAAGUA